UAGGGACUUUCAAAGGAGGAUUCAACAGAUUUUUGGGCGGUGAUUGACACCGUUUGAGGGCAGGCAGGUGGAAGAAGGCAUCCAUCACGACAAUAAAAAUUUGGAGCCCACUCACAGCACAAGAGGUCUCCACACAAGCAGCGCACCAUUGUAGUAAAUCAAGGCUACCACUUUGAUAUAGCAACAGCCCGCAUAGGUUAGUUUUUCCAUUGAUCUACCUUUUUAGUUUUUCCAUUGACCUACUUUCUCUCAUGUUUUAGUUUUGUUUUUUUUAGUUACUAAAAUUCAAUAUUUCAUGUAACUAUUUAGGUUUUUUUUUUAAUGUAAAAAAUCAAAGCAAUAUGAUGUGUAAGCAAGCUAUCAAAAAAUUCUCUAGGAUUCUGCUUGUUGCCUUCAUACUUGUAGUCUUGGACUCCCUUUGGAUCAUGAAAAGUCCUAGGGAAAGGAAGAAAAGUAGGAAGGAAUACAAAUUCUCUUUUUAGGUUUACCAUAGAAAUAUGAGGAAAAAUCAAAUAUAAUGAAAGUUAGUUAGAAUUGUAUGCAUUUUCAAAUUCUUCAUCCCUAAUAUAAGAGAGCAAAGAAGAGAAAUAAAUUUCAAAAAACAUGAAAGGAAUUUUUUUUUUUUUUAAACUUUAAACCAUUUUUUUUAUUUUCCUUUAUUUUUUUCUUUCCUUCCCCUUUUUCCCUCUAUUUUCAUUCUCUUGCACUUUCUCUCAAACUGUUCGGGACCUAAAUGGAGUCUAAAAUUUCCAUGGUUCAAAGAAAACUGUUUCUUCUCAGUAUUUUUUAUUUGGAUUCAAAUCUAGUCAUUCUUGUUAUUUUUUUAGGAUUUUAGUAAAAUCUCCCCACCUUCCUUCUAGGCCAUCAUUAAAUCCCCCUUCCUUUAUUUUGUUAUGUCUUUUCAGCUGUUGACUCUAUAAACCUUUUGCAAAAUACUACUGGUUAAUACUUUAUUGUUUCAGUUGUCAGAAGAUGUAAUGAUUUCUC
rnacentral:lncRNA from 1 species